AUUGGACUUUCAAUUUGGUGGGAAUUGGACUGCUUUAUAUAUAUAUAUAUAUAUAGGCUAGAAAUUUUUAAGGCAGCUGAAAAUACAUAUUAUGAAAACACAAAAGAAAAAAAAGGAGCAGCUGCUAUUGGAGAAGAAAGCGGACAACACAUUUACAAAGAAAAAACACAGAAAACGGCAGCUGAUUUUUGAGGAAAAGACGGCAAAUUUACUUUGAAAAUUAUUCACGUUCUGUCAAUUACUCAGCGAUGUCGUUCAAACUUUAUUUGUUUAAUUCCGACUGUAUGUUAGGUUAAGUUCUUUAUUGUUAGGAUGUGAUGAACCCUUUUUAUGAAGUUUUUGAUUUAAAUUAUUAAAUUGAUGUUAAUUUGUUUAAUUGUUUGGAAGUUUAUCAUGGUUUAAUUUGAUUUUCAAUUAUUUGACCAAUAAUUGAAUUGUUAGGUUGUUUUAUUGUCAUUGAGAGAAAUAAAUAAGAUCAUUAGCACAUAGUAAUAAAUAUUGUGAGAUUUGAUAGAGAAUAGAGAUAUACUUCUAUACUUCAUAUGAUUUUUAUAAAAUGUUUUAACUUGUUUAAUGCAUUUAUUAUGUUCGCAUUUUUCAUCGAGAGAUAGGAAGGUCACAUGAGGAG
rnacentral:lncRNA from 1 species